rnacentral:rRNA from 1 species
CCUACGGGAGGCAGCAGUGAGGAAUAUUGGUCAAUGGGCGCGAGCCUGAACCAGCCAAGUAGCGUGAAGGAUGACUGCCCUACGGGUUGUAAACUUCUUUUAUAAGGGAAUAAAGUACGGAACGUGUCCCUGUUUGUAUGUAUUUUAUGAUAAAGGAUUGGCUGACUCCGUGCCAGCAGCCGCGGUAAUCCGGAGGAUCCUAGCGUUAUCCGGAUUUAUUGGGUUUAAAGGGAGCGUAGAUGGGUUGUUAAGUCAGUUGUGAAAGUUUGCGGCUCAACCGUAAAAUUGCAAUUGAUACUGGCAGCCUUGAGUACAGUUGAGGUAGGCGGAAUUCGUGGUGUAGCGGUGAAAUGCUUAGAUAUCACGAAGAACUCCGAUUGCGAAGGCAGCUUACUAAACUGCCACUGACAUUGAUGCUCGAAAGUGUGGGUAUCAAACAGGAUUAGAUACCCUAGUAGUC